rnacentral:lncRNA from 1 species
UCAGAAUACGUGACAAUUUGGCGGCCAGAAUGCUUGCCUGAGAUGCAGGAUUCUGAUAUUCAGACAUCUUGCAGGACAGAAGCUUGAAAUCUGGAUUCCUGUGUCAUCAGUGUCUUGAUAACGGGUGGUUAUCUGGGAGGGGUGAGAGUUUUCCUGCUCUUCGAUACAUUUCAAGUCUCACCGUGGGUAUGAGAACCUUUCCUAGAGCACUGCUGAUGAUAUACUGCACUUUGUGGGAAUCCAGCCUACAGGGACAGCUUUACAAGCCAUCACAGGCUUCAGGCAUCUAUUUUUAUCGAACUGAACAAUUGUUGCUCAGAAAAAGGAGACCCCUACUUCCCGGGCCACGUGUGGCUGACCUCGGUUGGAAUCCAGGACUGACUUCAGGAUGCCAAGUUAGAAAUAAUUCCUGGAGUGAAAACUCAGGGAGGAGUCGGUCCACACAGCUGCCAUAAAGGCUCCAGUCAGAGGAGCAGCACUCAAUAGAUUUUGUAUUAUUUUUCAUGUUCUGUGACCUCUCGACGUCCCAGCAUCUACAUGGAUAUGUUCAUUUACAGAUGUAUAGCACAUUCUUAUUAAAAAAUUAUGGGUACAUGUUCGAAAAGAUGCACUAACUGUACACUCCAGCUGCUAACACUGUAAAAGUGUUAGGACAUAAUAAACUGCUACAAUCUUCUCUUUGCAGAUGCAGACAGACAGUGGCAAAGCAGUUAGACGAAGGGCUCUAGUUUAUAGGCUUUACCAUAAAAGACUUUUCCAAACCUCAGCACAAGUCAGUAGUAUGGAGGAGGCUAAAAAGAGCAUCUGAGUCAAAUCAGAGCUGCGGAUGCUCCAUUCCUGGAAGCAUUCAGGGCUGGGCUGGCUGGGGCCCUGAGCAGCCUGAUCUGAUGGGGGGCAACCAGCUCAUGGUAGGGGGUUGGAGCUGGAUGAUCUUUAAGAUCCUUCCAACUUAAGCCAUUCUAUGAUUCUAUGAAGUACUUUGCCCCAACAGCUACCUUCAUGACAUGCCACUCUACCUGUUUCCAGUACAAAGCUCCUAACACAUUUCCCUUAUUUCAUGCAUCAGAACACCAUUUUGAAUGAGGGAAAAUGUGCCGUUACUCAAGGCUGCACUUGAGUGAUAGCUUUAUCUAUGUUGUCUCUGUCGCCACAAGGGCAGAACGUGGUCCUGUGAAGUCUCUGUACAAGGUAAUAACAGAGUUGCUUCAUCAGAGCUCUUCCCAUGAGGGACGAGGUCUAAGAUCUUUGUUUUUAGUGGAACAGAACAACAUCUCCGAAGGCGUACUAGGCGUCAUAAUACAGAGCUUCUGAGCUCUGAACGCAGAAGGUCAGGCAAUGUUUAAUCCUGGGGGUGACCUCGAGGACCUCAAGGGAAUUUCAUCAAGGAUAUAGUUAGUUUGUAUGUUGCAAUGCUCUGUAAGAAAUGAGCCUGGCAUUUCAGAGAUAAAAUUUGAAGGCAGCACCAUUCCAGUCACCCAACAUGUUUUGUAAAUGGGAUCUCUGUGACUCUUCAGUGCUAAAACUGUCUGAUGUUCAAAAUUGAAACUUUCAGCCCUUAUUCAGGCAAAGCUCACACAAAAACCAAG